rnacentral:rRNA from 1 species
GUAGGGAAUCUUCCACAAUGGGCGCAAGCCUGAUGGUGCAACACCGCGUGAGUGAAGAAGGGUUUCGGCUCGUAAAGCUCUGUUGUUAAAGAAGAACACGUAUGAGAGUAACUGUUCAUACGUUGACGGUAUUUAACCAGAAAGUCACGGCUAACUACGUGCCAGCAGCCGCGGUAAUACGUAGGUGGCAAGCGUUAUCCGGAUUUAUUGGGCGUAAAGAGAGUGCAGGCGGUUUUCUAAGUCUGAUGUGAAAGCAUUCGGCUUAACCGGAGAAGUGCAUCGGAAACUGGAUAACUUGAGUGCAGAAGAGGGUAGUGGAACUCCAUGUGUAGCGGUGGAAUGCGUAGAUAUAUGGAAGAACACCAGUGGCGAAGGCGGCUACCUGGUCUGCAACUGACGCUGAGACUCGAAAGCAUGGGUAGCGAACAGGAUUAGAAACCCUGGUAGUCC